GGAACCCCGUGACGUCAUCUGUGUUGUAGCAACAUCAACUGCCUUUGGAGAAUCUUUCAGUGCCCUGUUUCAACGAUGAACACAUUGGCAAGACUGGGGAAUCUCCUUAGGAGAGAAAAUGGAGAGGGAAGAAAGACCAGAGAGAGGCAGAAGAAAGCUGACCUUCAGCCUCAGUUUAAACCAUCAAAAAAAAAAGUGUUCAAAAGGAACAACAGGGCUGCUGGAGAGCCAUCACUCCCCUGCAACCCUUCUCAUCAAAAAAGAGUUGAAGAAGAUGGAGAGUCUGAACAUCCAGCUGGAGUGCAUCCAUGCCCUACCAAAGACCAAAUCCUUUAUCUGAAAAACCUGAAGAUGGAGUAUAAUCAGGUCAUGGCAGACCUGCAUAGGUUAGAGAAUGAGAACAUUGAAGCCUUAGAUAAAUUCAGUCAGCACGACAAGAAGUCACUCUUUUAUUGGAGCAGCAUAGACUGGAGGAAAAUUUGCAGUCCCUGCUGAAGGAGAGGGAGCUGGUCAUCCAGAAAAAGAACGUAGCAGGAAAGUGUAGCAUUGCUUGACCACCUCCCAGAUGAGGAGAUAACAGUGAAUUCCCCAUGUGGAAAGUACUAAAUGUACUCCAGUCAAUCUCAGAGAUCUCUGGUUUUGGAAGAAGGAGGUGCUGCAGGGUUUGCCUUGUCCCUGUGGCACAAUGCAUUGCCCAGGGCCGAGACUGAGUCAGGCUUUGCCAUGGGUGCUCUCUCUGCACAGAGCAUUGGUGACACAGACAGCUGGGUGUCAAUGAAGACUUUCCAGUCUGCAGGAAUAGACUUCCAGAACAUCACCCUUGGUUUCCCUCUAACCAAAGAGAUCAUCUGCACUUCCAAGGUCACCAGCAAUUAUCUGGAAGCCCCUAGUGAUUCAGUCAUCUUUUCAAGAGACCUGACAUCAGCAGAGCUAGAGAUAUAUAUGCCACAGUGCUUCAUGGGUAAAAAUCACUUUACCUGUUCGUUCUCUGAGACUUGUGGAAGAAAGAACAUCAAAUGAAAAACAGCUGUUCCUGGUUGUAGACGAGCAACUAUGGAUAUGCAGGAUGUUUGGAGAUCUGCCUCUCUUCUCCAGGCUGAUCAAAGCCUUCCCAAGUCCUGUUUUGAUGUCAUGCUGUCCACUCUGUAGACAAAAGACGAUGGUGCUGGUCAGAGGAGCAGGGUAUCACUCCAGAGGGGCAGAAGGAGGUGAAGUACACAAGGAUUCAGUUCCCUGCUGAGCAGGAGGUCAGCUACUGUUUUCUCAGAUCCAGAGAGGAAGAGGUGAUGUCUGUACCGUGUAUUGGGAGCCUUAGUGAACAGCAGUACAGCUCUUGGCCAGCACUCUAACACAGGCCCUACCACCUGCCAAAUCGUUUUUACGAGAAACUCAAGAUGGAACAUAAGCAGGUCAUGUCAGAACACUGAGGCCACCCAGAAGUUCAACGAGCUGACCGAGGAGACCGGCUUCUGUUGUGAUCUGCAGAGUUGGCUGCUAAUGGAGCAGCCUCAGCUGAAGAAGAAGGUGGACAUGCUGAGACAGGAGAACAAGAAAUCGCUGGAGGAUGGUGUCCUGCUGAAGCAGCACCUGGGGGACUUGAAAGUGCUGUGUAACACAAGCAUGAAGAGACCAGCGGCCUCCAGAAGCAGCACCAACAGGUGGGGUCAGGCCUCUAGGGUGAGGUUAUCCCCACCACCAUUUGCAAAUUUAUGUUUAACUUGUCCACAUGUCCAGCCACCUGUGUUGCUUGUCCUCUGCCCUCCACCCUAUACAGUUGCCCCCCCCCCACAUCCUGCAAGCAAUUUCCAUCCCUCCCUGCCCCUUCCCUUUAUCAAUCUUGGCUGGAGCCAGGCCCUGCCUCACACUGUGCUCCUCUCAACCAGUGUCCAGCCGUAUACAUGUGCUCACCCACCACCUGCCCAGUCCGGGCAGCUGCUCACCAGUGUCCCAGGGAGCCCCUAACUUCUCGGUUGCAGAGAGCAAGUGCAAGCGGCCUGGCCUCCUUCUACUCCUGGCUCAGAAUCCUUCAGGGGCGGGGGCAUGGCACUGGUCUGCAGGGAGAGCAGGUCCCUGGACUGCACGCUGAGUGAGAAAGGCCAGCACAGCCAGCACCUCCUGCACUUGCAGCAGCAGAGCAGCAGAGGGAGCACAGUGACUCCCACAUCAACUCCAUGCACCACAAGACCAAGCUGUGCCAACCAUUCCAGGAGGGCAGCACAUGCAAACAGGGGGAGCAGUGUCAGCUCGCACAGGGCUUCCAGCUGUGCAGCCUCCCUGACACCCCAAGUACACGAGGAGCUGUGUUACACACACUACACAGCACCAGCUUCUGCCACUUAGCCCGCGCUGCCAUUUCAUCUAGAAAGUAGAGGAGGGGUGGACAGUGGGGGUGACGUGGGGUGAGGUCCAGAAACCAGCAAGGUUUGGCCCAACCUUUUUGGACACUCCACCCAAGCCUCAGUUUCUGGGGCUUCCCUUUGGGCACCACCAUCCCAUCGGCAUAAGGGUCUGGAGUUGGCCCUGCAGCCCGACAGCCCCACUUCUCUCAUGCUGCCACUGGCCUUAUCCUGUUCCUCAUCUGCAUAUCCCCGCCCCCCCACCUCAGUGCACUCCAUGCCCUCAGAUGCCCCCAAGGUGCAGCACCUAGGUGACUGCUGCAGUAGGGAUCACUCUGCUCUAUGUCCCAGGAGCUGGGAGGACGUGCUGGUCCCCAGAGACCCACGCUUGGCCUGCCGGCCAGCCUCCUGUGGCUACAGUGCCUUUGCCAUUGACUGUGGAGCUGAGCAGCCUCAUCAAGCCAUUGGCCAUCUCCAUCCACAGCUGUGCUUGGGUCAAGGACUCCACCUGCUACCACAGCCUGCUCAGUGCCUGGUGGGCCCCAUGCUGCCCACUAUGCAACCCCCACCAGAUUCCUGCACAUCCUUUGUCAUCAUAUGGCUUCCAGCUGCUGCCCUGUCUGCCCAAGUCACAUGAGUUCCAUGCUAUCCCCAGCCCCAGAACACCCUGUUGGAAUGCUGCAGCUAUCUGAGCUGCUUCCUGAGCUCAGGCAGCCUCAAUAGUCAUGGCCUGCCCAUGUUCAGCUGCCUCUCCAUUUCCCAGGCCUGCGCCAAGGGGGCACCCUUGAGGCAUUCAGAGAGGUGCUGGCAGGGGGCACCAGGCAGGGUGACACUGCUACAGGCAUACUCAGAUGCCCUGAAGAGCAAGCACAUGGACUUGAACUCCACUGGGAGGGGCCCCUUCCAUUUUGGGUACUCAGUUCAUUUUAUUAUUGUUGCUGUUGUUGUUACAAAGUCUUGUUCUUGUAUAAAUAAAAGUCAACAAAAUUUU